rnacentral:lncRNA from 1 species
CUGCAGGUGCUGGCUGAACGUCUCCCCAUCCAUGGGGCUCAGGUCAUGCUCAGUUCUGUCAGAGGUGACACUGGGCUCCUGCAGCCUGUCUGAGUCUUCAUAGUUGGCAGAGAAAGGCACACUGGAAUAGCUGGUGAGGGAGCUGGGCAGACUGGAAGGGGACCUAGGAUCUUGGUGGGGUGGGGACGAAGAAUAAGAGGACAUGGAGCAGUAGUCGGUGAGCGAGUCCUGGUGGGUGAGGAUCUGCGUGCCCAGCUCCUCGCUGUACAUGAUGCUCACAUCCGCGAUGCACUCUUCCACAGGCCCCUUUGAGGUGGUUUUGUGACUGCCUGGGGUUUCUAGGACUGAAGGCUGCACAGAAAACGUGUCCCUGAGAGGAUUGGGGUCCCCACAGAAGUACCGGGCACAGAGCUGGUAGGUGGCUGAGUGGUACAUCACUAAGCAAUUGGCCUUGUCGUCGAGGCACCAGACCAUCUCCUCUCCUCUGCAGUCUGAGCUGCACACAAGUGACGUGACCAUGGACGGAGCUGCGUAGGGCUCCAGCCGCCUGCUGAUGUCCAGGAUGGUGCAGUCAAUGACGAGGAGGCCAGGCCCGUUGCUGUACCAGACCUCAGACCCACUGUUGACCACUUCCAUUGCCUUCACUGGGAUUCUAAUUUUUCUACCAAA